rnacentral:tRNA from 1 species
GGGGCUGUAGCUCAGUGGUAGAGUGCUUGUCUCGAAUGUGUGAGGCAUUGGGUUCAAUCCUCAGCCCCA